UUCAUGUGAUCACUGAGCAUAAUCUGAAUAGCACCGCACCUACGAUCUCUCUCAUUGAACAUAAUGACUUUUCUUGGGCACUUAAAAUGAUGCUAUCGCUACAAGUGGAACAAUAACAAAAGCCUAUGAUCCGGGAAAAAUUUUAACACCAAAAACAUACGGAUCAGACAUCAGCUGAUGGAGUAAUGUUGUCUUUAAAAUGCGGCAGAUUUUUGUCCACGCACUCUUAAUGUUGUAAAUAUGAAAGGGGGGCAAAUGCGAAUCUAUAUCUAAAUUUUUGUUCAUAUUUCUCUUGUUUUUACUUUUGAGAAACGCCUGGAGAUUGGCCCGUAUAUACCUGAUUACUUCCAUAAUUUGGCCCCUCUGUCUUAGUAUCUAAUUCAGGGGCAUAGAUAAGUCUUUUACGCUUAGAAGAACUAUUCUGGAAAUAUGUAGGUAUAUAGUUUUAUAAAUUCAAUUAAUCUAGGGGGACGAAUGGGAGUAAUACAGGAUUGUUUAGGUGAAUCCAGACCACCUUUAACUUCAUCCUGAGCAGUAAAGGUAGCAAUUAGAGGUUUGAACUUUUAUUUACAAGUUCUAAUAAUGCAAAAGAUAAAAAUCAUUAAAUGUGUUAGCCAUCUUCGACAAUUAUUCGCUUGACACGAUACCUAAAAGAUUUGCCGGUCUUGAUCUUGUCUACUGUGAGACUUAUUACAGUCCUUGAUGAUGGAAGCCUUCAAGGAGUAUAUCGAAGGAGUUAGAGGGCCAGGUCAGGGGUCCAAAAAUAGUAUCUUCUCUUCUUUCAUAACGUUUUGGGUCUUACGAGCCUUGCAAGAGGGGACCAUGUCUGGUUGAAAUAGGAAUUCCACACCAUUGGCAUCAGCUUUCAUCCAAGAUAUCACUACUCAGACAGGAGUUCACAGUACCUGUAAGUACCCACCCUCUCCUUUGGUUCAUAUAAGAUUGGAGGAAUGGCAAUGCAGUUGCUCCCGAUGACUCCUAGGGGCAUGAUGCUGGCCAAAAACUUGGUUUUAAGGACGUGGGAGACAUUAGCUCUCUCUGUGAUCAAUCAUCUGUCGUUCUGGAUGUUGUGAAUCUGAAGUAUUUCCAUUUUUUCUCAGCCGAAAAAAAAAACAUGAUUCGCUUGUUAUGGGAUUUCAAAUCGUUCAGUAAUUUUCUUCUGUAGGCAGCCUGCUUGUCAUUCAUUUUUACUGUAAAGAUAUAUGUCUUUUGUAGAGACUUCAUCCUCGGGUCAGUGUUUAUGGCCCUUGAGACUAUUGCACGGAUUAGUUGACGCUUUUUUGGAAAGGGGGUCAAUCGAAGUGACAGGAGAUAUCUUCAAGGACCGUUUCAGGCCUACAAGGAAUCGGGAGUGCGUUUUUUAUAAAUCUAAGCCUAGUGGGCUUUUUUCUCAUAUGUUCCUUUCUCCUUUAAGUGGUUGUAGACUCUUUGGAUACCUGAGGAUAUUUUUGAUUUUUGGUAAGCUGGGCUUUGUCCCUCGCAAGUAAAUUAGAUGAUGGUGUUCCUCCGGAUCUACUCCAUCGUACAUACUUGUUUUGAAUUAAAAGUUGUGCAAAUAACUUAAAGCUAACACUUAACCUCUCAAUUUAAAAUUGAAAUAACCGAGUUAAAUGCUUUCCUUAUUGUUCAGGAUAUAGUAAAGAUGGUCUGGAUUUACUUGAACGACCCUCUAUAAAUCUGAAAGGACAUGCCAACUGUUUUUGUUAGAGCACAAGAAGAAGGGGGAGCGAGACGUGCAGAAAAUGAAUUACUUCUAUAAAGAGGAAAACCUUCUAUAUUUAAGAUCGCAUUAGUGCAAGGAAAGUAUUACCAAAAUGACACUUGAACAUGAUCCAUCCGCGCACUUCAAGCAUUUGGGCGUCUCCAGGACCACCGUCUACGCUGUCUGCAUGUCAGAAACGUUGGAAAGGAAGAAAGGCUCUAUCAAAAAUGCCAAACUGGGCCUAUAAGAGUUAUAAAAAACAGUCCAGACCAAUCCCCUGAAGUCCAUGACGGCCCAUGCAAGAGAUCUCGGGAUUUCACUCUAGGUUGUAAAGAUAGUUAUAAAAAAAGUGAGUGGAAAUACCCUUGUGAGGGUGGAGAGACCACUUUUGACACCAACAAUGAAAGAAACCAAUCUGCUCCGUUGCAAGACUCUUUUGAACUCUUUUUUGACAAUUUUAUCACCCUGCGACCCUGAUGCCAACUCCCACGACUAUACCUUUUGGGUGCAUAUCGAGAGGAAGGGCUGCUGUGUGCGUCAUAUAAACACAAAGGCCCUCAAAGCUACUGGUAGCCAGCACUGGGAUGCCAUGACAGACCUCUAAAUCCACAGCGGUACCAGACUUUUUGCCGCCUGGAAGCCAUCAUUACCACUAAGGGCAGCUACAUUAAUAAAUGAAA
rnacentral:lncRNA from 1 species